rnacentral:rRNA from 1 species
AGUGAACGCUGGCGGUAGGCCUAACACAUGCAAGUCGAACGGCAGCACAGUAAGAGCUUGCUCUUACGGGUGGCGAGUGGCGGACGGGUGAGGAAUACAUCGGAAUCUACUUUGUCGGGGGGGAUAACGGAGGGAAACUUACGCUAAUACCGCAUACGACCUACGGGUGAAAGCAGGGGAUCUUCGGACCUUGCGCGAUUGUAUGAGCCGAUUUCGGAUUAGCUAGUUGGCGGGGUAAAGGCCCACCAAGGCGACGAUCCGUAGCUGGUCUGAGAGGAUGAUCAGCCACACUGGAACUGAGACACGGUCCAGACUCCUACGGGAGGCAGCAGUGGGGAAUAUUCGACAAUGGGCGCAAGCCUGAUCCAGCCAUACCGCGUGGGUGAAGAAGGCCUUCGGGUUGUAAAGCCCUUUUAUUGGGAAAGAAAAGCAGCAGGUUAAUCCCCCGCUGUUCUGACGGUACCCAAAGAAUAAGCACCGGCUAACUUCGUG